rnacentral:rRNA from 1 species
AACGAACGCUGGCGGCAUGCCUAACACAUGCAAGUCGAACGAGACCUUCGGGUCUAGUGGCGCACGGGUGCGUAACGCGUGGGAACCUGCACUUAGGUUCGGAAUAACUCCCCGACAGGGGUGCUAAUACCGGAUAAUGUCUUCGGCCCAAAGAUUUAUCGCCUUUGGAUGGGCCCGCGUUGGAUUAGCUAGUUGGUAGGGUAAAAGCCUACCAAGGCGACGAUCCAUAGCUGGUCUGUGAGGAUGAUCAGCCACACUGGGACUGAGACACGGCCCAGACUCCUACGGGAUGCAGCAGUGGGGAAUAUUGGACAGUGGGCGGAAGCCUGAUCCAGCUCUGCCGCGUGAGUGAUGAAGGCCUUAGGGUUGUAAAGCUCUUUUACCCGGGAUGAUAAUGACAGUACCGGGAGAAUAAGCUCCGGCUAACUCCGUG